CCUACGGGAGGCAGCAGUGGGGAAUAUUGCGCAAUGGGCGAAAGCCUGACGCAGCGACGCCGCGUGAGGGAUGAAGGUCUUCGGAUCGUAAACCUCUUUCAGCAGGGAAGAACGGUCACUGUGCUAAUCAGCAGUGAAUUGACGGUACCUGCAAAGGAAGCACCGGCUAACUCCGUGCCAGCAGCCGCGGUAAUACGGAGGGUGCGAGCGUUAAUCGGAAUUACUGGGCGUAAAGGGCUAGUAGGCGGUAUGUCAAGUCAAGGGUGAAAUCCCCGCGCUCAACGUGGGAACUGCCUUUGAAACUGGCAGACUGGAGUGUGUGAGAGGAUAGUGGAAUUCCAGGUGUAGGAGUGAAAUCCGUAGAUAUCUGGAGGAACAUCAGUGGCGAAGGCGACUAUCUGGCACAUAACUGACGCUGAGGAGCGAAAGCGUGGGUAGCAAACAGGAUUAGAUACCCCAGUAGUC
rnacentral:rRNA from 1 species